GACGAACGCUGGCGGCGUGCUUAACACAUGCAAGUCGAACGGAAAGGCCCUGCUUUUGUGGGGUGCUCGAGUGGCGAACGGGUGAGUAACACGUGAGUAACCUGCCCUUGACUUUGGGAUAACUUCAGGAAACUGGGGCUAAUACCGGAUAGGAGCUCCAGCUGCAUGGUGGGGGCUGGAAAGUUUCGGCGGUUGGGGAUGGACUCGCGGCUUAUCAGCUUGUUGGUGGGGUAGUGGCUUACCAAGGCUUUGACGGGUAGCCGGCCUGAGAGGGUGACCGGCCACAUUGGGACUGAGAUACGGCCCAGACUCCUACGGGAGGCAGCAGUGGGGAAUAUUGCACAAUGGGCGGAAGCCUGAUGCAGCAACGCCGCGUGCGGGAUGACGGCCUUCGGGUUGUAAACCGCUUUCGCCUGUGACGAAGCGUGAGUGACGGUAAUGGGUAAAGAAGCACCGGCUAACUACGUG
rnacentral:rRNA from 1 species